UACGGAGGAUGCGAGCGUUAUCCGGAUUUAUUGGGUUUAAAGGGUGCGUAGGCGGAUCGUUAAGUCAGUGGUCAAAUUGAGGGGCUCAACCCCUUCCCGCCAUUGAAACUGGCGAUCUUGAGUGGAAGAGAAGUAUGCGGAAUGCGUGGUGUAGCGGUGAAAUGCAUAGAUAUCACGCAGAACUCCGAUCGCGAAGGCAGCUUACCAGACUGUAACUGACGCUGAAGCACGAGAGCGUGGGUAGCAAACAGG
rnacentral:rRNA from 1 species